rnacentral:rRNA from 1 species
UACGUAGGGGGCAAGCGUUGUCCGGAAUUAUUGGGCGUAAAGGGCGCGCAGGCGGUCCUCUAAGUCUGAUGUGAAAGCCCACGGCUCAACCGUGGAAGGUCAUUGGAAACUGGGGGACUUGAGUGCAGGAGAGGAGAGUGGAAUUCCACGUGUAGCGGUGAAAUGCGUAGAGAUGUGGAGGAACACCAGUGGCGAAGGCGGCUCUCUGGCCUGUAACUGACGCUGAGGCGCGAAAGCGUGGGUAGCGAAC